CCUACGGGGGGCAGCAGUGAGGAAUAUUGGUCAAUGGGCGCAAGCCUGAACCAACCAAGUCGCGUGAGGGAUGACGGUCCUAUGGAUUGUAAACCUCUUUUGUCGGGGAGCAAGGCCCGCCACGUGUGGCGGGAAGGAGAGUACCCGAAGAAAAAGCAUCGGCUAACUCCGUGCCAGCAGCCGCGGUAAUACGGAGGAUGCGAGCGUUAUCCGGAUUUAUUGGGUUUAAAGGGUGCGUAGGCGGAAGGUUAAGUCAGCGGUCAAAUGUCGGUGCUCAACACCGGCCUGCCGUUGAAACUGGUCGUCUUGAGUGAGCGAGAAGUAUGCGGAAUGCGUGGUGUAGCGGUGAAAUGCAUAGAUAUCACGCAGAACUCCGAUUGCGAAGGCAGCAUACCGGCGCUCAACUGACGCUGAGGCACGAAAGCGUGGGGAUCGAACAGGAUUAGAUACCCUUGUAGUC
rnacentral:rRNA from 1 species